ACUCCUACGGGAGGCAGCAGUGAGGAAUAUUGGUCAAUGGAGGGAACUCUGAACCAGCCAUCCCGCGUGUAGGAAGACGGCCUUAUGGGUUGUAAACUACUUUUAUACAGGAAGAAACGUACCCUCGUGAGGGUGCCUGACGGUACUGUAGGAAUAAGCACCGGCUAACUCCGUGCCAGCAGCCGCGGUAAUACGGAGGGUGCGAGCGUUAUCCGGAUUUAUUGGGUUUAAAGGGUCCGUAGGCGGAUUAAUAAGUCAGUGGUGAAAUCCCAUCGCUUAACGAUGGAACUGCCAUUGAUACUGUUAGUCUUGAAUGAGGGUGCAGUGGUUGGAAUGUGUAGUGUAGCGGUGAAAUGCAUAGAUAUUACACAGAACACCGAUUGCGAAGGCAGAUCACUAACCCUAAAUUGACGCUGAGGGACGAAAGCGUGGGGAGCGAACAGGAUUAGAUACCCUGGUAGACUCUGC
rnacentral:rRNA from 1 species